AGGGGAACGCCAGAUCUUGGGCUUUGUCCCCCGGUGCCUUGGGCUCCUAGGCCUGCCGUUGGAAUCAUGCUUCUGGGGCCACGCCACCCCCU
rnacentral:pre_miRNA from 1 species